UAGGACCACCAGUGGCGAAAGCGUCAGACUGGAACGCGCCUGACGGUGAGGGACGAAAGCCAGGGGAGCGAACCGGAUUAGAUACCCGGGUAGUCCUGGCCGUAAACGAUGCAUACUAGGCAAUGGUGCGGCCAUGAGCCGCAUCAGUACCGUAGGGAAACCGUUAAGUGUGCCGCCUGGGAAGUACGGUCGCAAGGCUAAAACUUAAAGGAAUUGGCGGGGGAGCACCACAAGGGGUGAAGCCUGCGGUUCAAUUGGACUCAACGCCGGGAAACUUACCAGGGGAGACAGCAGAAUGACAGUCAGGUUGACGACCUUACUCGACGAGCUGAGAGGAGGUGCAUGGCCGUCGCCAGUUCGUGCUGUGAGGUAUCCUGUUAAGUCAGGCAACGAACGAGAUCCGCGCCUUUAUUUGCCAUCAGGAAGUCACGACUUCGUUGGGAACACUAAAGGGACCGCCGUCGAUAAGACGGAGGAAGGAGCGGGCAAAGGCAGGUCAGUAUGCCCCGAAACCCCUGGGCUACACGCGGGCUGCAAUGGUGCGAACAAUGGGCUGUAACUCCGAAAGGAGAAACCAAUCCCGAAAUCGCAUCUCAGUGGGGAUUGUCGACUGUAACUCGUUGACAUGAACGUGGAAUCCCUAGUAAUCGCGUG
rnacentral:rRNA from 1 species